rnacentral:rRNA from 1 species
AAUAGAUACCCAGGUAGUCCAUGCCGUAAACGUUGGGCACUAGGUGUGGGGGACAUUCCACGUUUUCCGCGCCGUAGCUAACGCAUUAAGUGCCCCGCCUGGGGAGUACGGCCGCAAGGCUAAAACUCAAAGGAAUUGACGGGGGCCCGCACAAGCGGCGGAGCAUGCGGAUUAAUUCGAUGCAACGCGAAGAACCUUACCAAGGCUUGACAUGUGCCAGACCGCCUCAGAGAUGGGGUUUCCCUUCGGGGCUGGUUCACAGGUGGUGCAUGGUUGUCGUCAGCUCGUGUCGUGAGAUGUUGGGUUAAGUCCCGCAACGAGCGCAACCCUCGUUCCAUGUUGCCAGCACGUAGUGGUGGGGACUCAUGGGAGACUGCCGGGGUCAACUCGGAGGAAGGUGGGGAUGACGUCAAAUCAUCAUGCCCCUUAUGUCUUGGGCUUCACGCAUGCUACAAUGGCCGGUACAAUGGGUUGCGAUACUGUGAGGUGGAGCUAAUCCCUAAAAGCCGGUCUCAGUUCGGAUUGGGGUCUGCAACUCCG